UGUUUGAUAACAUUUUGAAUAUUCAGGUGUUAAAUGACAAAUGCUUUAAUACUCAAACCAUUUUACUUCCUCUUCUUCAGUUUGAAAUUUCAAACUAUUUGUUAUCAUUUCAGUUUACAACAGAGUUGGUACACCUGUGUGAAAGGGAUUGGUGAUGAAUUUCUAUGCUCUUCACCUUACCAAGAGAAAAAUGUGGCUGUCUUCACUGAAAUUAAUGACGCUUUACAGCAAAGAUGAGAUUUGCCAUAUGAUACAGGAUAAGAUGUGGCCCUAAACAGCCAGGAAACGUGAUGCAAUGAUGUUCAGCAUGUGUGUGAGAGUGACAUCCAACCAGGCAUGCUGGAGGGCAGUAAGCACAGCGCGCUGCAUGAACAUAAGCUUUCUUCUCACUUCAAACAGCCAGCAAACCUAAUUCAAGUCAAUCUGCAUUUCCCUUCAGACCAAUUGGAAAAUAGGCAUUACAGAUAGUUUCAGCCAAAAAAACACAGAAGCAAAGUUUUGUCAUUUAUCUACCUGUUCUUACAGAGUCUAGAAAUUCUCUUUGCCAUGAUACAAGUGAAGAGGAAUGGACUGUGUCAAAAGUGGCAUUAUGAUGAAACUCACGCUAUCGUAUGCGCUUACUUUCCUCUAAGUUUUUGUACUUCAUGUCACACUGAAUAAAUAUGCAUCUUGACAACUAGAGUACUAAAGGGUCAUUAACAUGAAAUUAUGACAGAUGUAAUAGAGAGUAGAUUUCUGCUAGUCAAAAGAAAAAUCCCUUUGACCUUUACAUGAAAAAAAAUCAAUUUUUUAAGACUUAAAGAGUACAUGCCAAAGUUAUUUCAUAAAUCUGCUUUUCAUUGUUGCAGAAGAUGCUCUCCUAAAAUGAAUAUUGCUGACCUUUCAGACUGUGAACCCUAUCAGCCUUCUCAAUCUUUCUGUAUUCUUAGAAACUUUAACUUCUUUAUACGGAAGCUGUCUAUAAUCUGGGAUGUCACAGAUUUAUGUGUAUAGUCCUGAUACAGUUGUACAUGAAAUGCCAGCGUUAAUGAUAAUGUUACAAGGAGGUCUCUGCUGCACGAUUAGCAAUGCUCUGUAGGACUGAAGAAAACCUGAAAUGUUUGUGCUAAUGCUGAUCACAGAUUCCAGAGUAAAAAUAACUGCCUUGGUCUGGAACAUUUAACAAACCACAUUUUCCAACUAAAAUAACAGCAUCUGAAUUUGUUAGGUUUAAUACCCAUCCUAGGAACUCUGUGCAAGUUAAACAUGAGGCCAGGUAACCUAAGGACAGAGGAGAAUUUGUGGGAUGAUUCCAAAGUAAAUAGUGUGAUUUGAAAAUGUGACAAGCGCUUUAAAAAAAAAAAAAAUCAGUUAAAUGUAGCUUUCCAGCAUAAUUUCAGUCAAGUUCAAAACUGACUGGCACAUUACUUUAACAUGAGGCAACUGCUGCUUUGCGGCUAGUAGCUGCAGUCCCUUUCAUGAAAUCCCACUGCCUUGUGAUUUAUGUGCGCAUGCUAGAAAGCCUCUGACCUGAUUCCUAAGGCCAAAAUAAAGUAUGGCCUGUGCAGCAAACUGGAAUCUCCCUGGAGCCACAAAGUAAUGCUGUGCUUCAGUCAAAGACUCAGGAUCAUGAUAGCAACAUCACACCGAGGAGCUGGUAAUGGAGAUGUGCUUGCACAUAUGUCGCUGUCAUAUCACACAUUUGUUUGUACACAGAGCUCAGACUUCCAAGCUCAGGUUAAUUUUAGCUGGACUCGGAUGAUCCUGUCAGACCCCUCAUCCCUCACUAUGUUAAUUAUUGCUCAGCAC